CGGAGGGUGCAAGCGUUAUCCGGAUUCACUGGGUUUAAAGGGUGCGUAGGCGGAUUAGUAAGUCCGUGGUGAAAUCUCCAAGCUUAACUUGGAAACUGCCGUGGAUACUAUUAGUCUUGAAUGUUGUGGAGGUUAGCGGAAUAUGUCAUGUAGCGGUGAAAUGCAUAGAUAUGACAUAGAACACCAAUUGCGAAGGCAGCUGGCUACACAAAUAUUGACGCUGAUGCACGAAAGCGUGGGGAUCAAACAGGAUUAGAUACCCUGGUAGUCCACGCCCUAAACGAUGAUUACUCGACAUUUGCGAUAUACAGUAAGUGUCUGAGCGGAAGCAUUAAGUAAUCCACCUGGGAAGUACGACCGCAAGGUUG
rnacentral:rRNA from 1 species